AGAGCUAUAGUAAACACUGGAGAAAGGGCUUUAAGAGCUCUGAAGUUUAUAGUAUCAAAUACAAUGACAGUUUUGGAGAGGAAUUAUAUCAGGACAUUCGUAUACCCCUCCCAAAUUCCACUUUGGUUUCCAAGAUGAUUUCAUGUGAGUAACCUGAAGGGGAAAAGACACAGCCUUUCGCAGACAGCAGAUAAGGUUUGCAUACAUUACCUAUUCCAUCCUCGAGGGAUGCUGUGCACAGUCUUGGAGACCACGCCUCUCCUCAUCAAACAAGACAACCCCUUUAUGUUUUCUCUAGAGGUCUCUCCUCUACCAACCCAAUCUACCAUCUAAAAAGCUAUUCUUAUAGCCCGGGCUCCUGCUCCUUCAACUAGCCUUACAGCUAACAGCCCACCUCCCCCAGUCAAAUCAAUAUCAAGAGCAUAUUGGAUGGGUGUUAACAUCCCACUUGAA